GUGAAUCAUCAAAUUUUUGAACGCAAAUUGCACUCUCUUCGGAGAGUAUGCCUGUUUGAGGGUCAGCCUAAAAAAAAUCGACAUUGUCGCUGUUUUGUGGUGACAUUCGUCGGAAAUUGGGUCAUCUUAAACCUUUGGGCUUUAAGCGGCUUAAAAUUUUCUUUUGGUUUCCUCGAAAGUUUUUAAGAUUUUUUUUUUACACGUUUAAGGUAUUGAUU
rnacentral:misc_RNA from 1 species